UACGUAGGGGGCUAGCGUUGUCCGGAAUCAUUGGGCGUAAAGAGCGUGUAGGCGGCUUGGUAAGUCCGCUGUGAAAGUCCAGGGCUCAACCCUGGAAUGCCAGUGGAUACUGUCAAGCUAGAGUCCGGAAGAGGCGAGUGGAAUUCCUGGUGUAGCGGUGAAAUGCGCAGAUAUCAGGAGGAACACCGGUGGCGAAGGCGGCCUACUGGGCCAGCACUGACGCUGAGGCGCGAAAGCUCGGGGAGCGAACGGG
rnacentral:rRNA from 1 species